CCUGGUAGCUCAGAGGGUAAAGCGUCUGCCUGCAAUGUGGGAGACCUGGGUUUGAUCCCCAGGUCAGGA
rnacentral:tRNA from 1 species